rnacentral:rRNA from 1 species
GACAGAGGGUGCGAACGUUGCUCGGAAUGACUGGGCGUAAAGCGCGUGUAGGCGGUUCCGCCAGUCCGGUGUGAAAGCCCAGGGCUCAACCCUGGAACUGCGCUGGAUACUACGGAGCUGGAGUGCUGGAGAGGAGAGCGGAAUUCUCGGUGUAGAGGUGAAAUUCGUAGAUAUCGGGAGGAACACCAGUGGCGAAGGCGGCUCUCUGGACAGUAACUGACGCUGAGACGCGAAAGCGUGGGUAGCAAACAGG